GACGAACGCUGGCGGCGUGCUUAACACAUGCAAGUCGAGCGGUAAGGCCCUUUCGGGGGUACACGAGCGGCGAACGGGUGAGUAACACGUGGGUGACCUGCCCUCAGCUCUGGGAUAAGCCUGGGAAACUGGGUCUAAUACUGGAUAUGACUCCACGGUGCAUGUCGUGGGGUGGAAAGCCUUGUGCGGCUGAGGAUGGGCCCGCGGCCUAUCAGCUUGUUGGUGGGGUGANGGCCUACCAAGGCGACGACGGGUAGCCGGCCUGAGAGGGCGACCGGCCACACUGGGACUGGGACACGGCCCAGACUCCUACGGGAGGCAGCAGUGGGGAAUCUUGCGCAAUGGGCGAAAGCCUGACGCAGCGACGCCGCGUGAGGGAUGACGGCCU
rnacentral:rRNA from 1 species